rnacentral:rRNA from 1 species
UACGGGGGGGGCAAGCGUUGUUCGGAAUUACUGGGCGUAAAGGGCUCGUAGGUGGUCAACUAAGUCAUACGUGAAAUCCCUCGGCUUAACCGGGGAACUGCGCCUGAUACUGGUUGACUUGAGUUUGGGAGAGGGACGCGGAAUUCCAGGUGUAGCGGUGAAAUUCGUAGAUAUCGGGAGGAACACCUGUGGCGAAGGCGGCCAUCUGGACAGUCACUGACACUGAGACGCGAAAGCGUGGGUAGCAAACAGG